CGUAGUUGGAUUUCGGAAGGUCCUUAGUAAUCCGCCCCUUCGGGGAGCGGGUUGCUGGCCUCCUAUGUUCCCAACGGUCCUCAUCCGCGAGGGUGGGGAAUCAACCGCUGGGAUCGUUUACUUUGAGGAAAUUAGAGUGUUCAAAGCAGGCGUAACUCGCCUCCGAAUACGUUAGCAUGGGAUAAUGGAAUACGACUUCGGUCUUGUUUCGUUGGUUUCGCUUGGCUGAAGUAAUGAUUGAUAGGGACAGUUGGGGGCAUUAGUAUUUAGUUGUCAGAGGUGAAAUUCUAGGAUUUACUAAAGACUGACCAAUGCGAAAGCAUUUGCCAAGGAUGUUUUCAUUAAUCAAGAACGAAAGUAGGGGGAUCGAAGACGAUCAGAUACCGUCGUAGUCUCUACCGUAAACUAUGCCGACCAGGGAUCCGGAGAGUUUGCAUGGAUGACUCCCCGGGCACCUUGUGAGAAAUCAUAAGUGUUUGGGUUUUGGGGGGAGUAUGGUCGCAAGGCUGAAACUUAAAGGAAUUGACGGAAGGGCACCACCAGGAGUGGAACCUGCGGCUUAAUUUGACUCAACACGGGGAAACUUACGAGGUCAGGACACUGUGAGGAUUGACAGAUUGAAAGCUCUUUCUUGAUUCAGUGGGUGGUGGUGCAUGGCCGUUCUUAGUUGGUGGAGUGAUUUGUCUGGUUAAUUCCGUUAACGAACAACCCUUAAACCCCGGGAAGGGAGAUCAAUCCACCAACUAAAAAACGGCCAU
rnacentral:rRNA from 1 species